rnacentral:rRNA from 1 species
GUAGCUAUGUGCGGACGGGAUAAGUGCUGAAAGCAUCUAAGCAUGAAGCCCCCCUCAAGAUGAGAUUUCCCAUUCCGCAAGGAAGUAAGAUCCCUGAAAGAUGAUCAGGUUGAUAGGUCCGAGGUGGAAGCGUGGUGACACGUGGAGCUGACAGAUACUAAUAGAUCGAGGACUUAACCUAUA